CCUACGGGAGGCAGCAGUGAGGAAUAUUGGUCAAUGGGCGCGAGCCUGAACCAGCCAUGUAGCGUGAAGGAUGACUGCCCUACGGGUUGUAAACUUCUUUUAUACAAGGAUAAAGUGAGGCACGUGUGCCUUUUUGUAUGUACUUUAUGAAUAAGGAUCGGCUAACUCCGUGCCAGCAGCCGCGGUAAUACGGAGGAUCCGAGCGUUAUCCGGAUUUAUUGGGUUUAAAGGGUGCGUAGAUGGGUUGUUAAGUCAGUUGUGAAAGUUUGCGGCUUAACCGUAAAAUUGCAAUUGAUACUGGCAGCCUUGAGUACAGUUGAGGUAGGCGGAAUGCGUGGUGUAGCGGUGAAAUGCUUAGAUAUCACGAAGAACUCCGAUUGCGAAGGCAGCUUACUAAUCUGCCACUGACAUUGAUGCUCGAAAGUGUGGGUAUCAAACAGGAUUAGAUACCCUAGUAGUC
rnacentral:rRNA from 1 species